rnacentral:rRNA from 1 species
GAUGAACGCUGGCGGCGUGCCUAAUACAUGCAAGUCGAGCGAACGGACGAGAAGCUUGCUGCUCGGAUGUUAGCGGCGGACGGGUGAGUAACACGUGGAUAACCUACCUAUAAGACUGGGAUAACUUCGGGAAACCGGAGCUAAUACCGUAUAAUAUUUUGAACCGCAUGGUUCAAAAGUGAAAGACGGUCUUUCUGUCACUUAUAGAUGGAUCCGCGCUGCAUUAGCUAGUUGGUAAGGUAACGGCUUACCAAGGCAACGAUGCAUAGCCGACCUGAGAGAGUGGUAGGCCACACUGGAACUGAGACACGGUCCAGACUCCUACGGGAGGCAGCAGUAGGGAAUGUUCCGCAGUGGGCGAAAGCAUGACGGAGCAACGCCGCGUGAGUGAUGAAGGUCUUCGGAUCGUAAAACUCUGUUAUUAGGGAAGAACAUAUGUGUAAGUAACUGUGGACAUCUUGACGGUACCUAAUCAGAAAGCCACGGCUAACUACGUG